UCACCAGAUAUAUCUCUCUCACUCCCUUCCGGCGCCGACAAACAACGCGAGAAAGAUGGCCAUGGCGGCCAAAACCCAGCUUGUCUUGUGCAUGCUCGUGGCCUUCUUCCUCCUCCUCGCCAUGGAGGUUGCUGCCGCUAGGAAACUAGAUGAAGCAGGUGACAAUUACAAGGGCACGUAUCCUUCAAUAGGUUAUCCAACUGGACCGCCACCAUAGUCCAUAGGUCUCCGGAAAUAUCUAUAGUACAACAUAUUUAUACAUACAUGCAUACUCUUCAUUUCAUGAGAAAUAAACGACAUGUAUGUAUAUAUGUACAUGUUUCUUUCACAUCAUGACCGUUAAAUUAGUAAGAGCAUGCAUGCAUGCAUGCAUGUAUGUCCAUCUUUCUCUUCGCACAACUGAAUCUGCUGGAUGAAAUGA